rnacentral:rRNA from 1 species
UACAGAGGUCUCAAGCGUUGUUCGGAUUCAUUGGGCGUAAAGGGUGCGUAGGUGGCGCCGUAAGUCGGGUGUGAAAUUUCGGAGCUUAACUCCGAAACUGCAUUCGAUACUGCGGUGCUUGAGGACUGGAGAGGAGACUGGAAUUCAUGGUGUAGCAGUGAAUGCGUAGAGAUCAUGAGGAAGACCAGUGGCGAAGGCGGGUCUCUGGACAGUUCCUGACACUGAGGCACGAAGGCCAGGGAGCAAACGGG